rnacentral:rRNA from 1 species
CGAGCGGUAGAGAUUCUUCGGGAUCUUGAGAGCGGCGCACGGGUGCGGAACACGUGUGCAACCUGCCUUUAUCAGGGGAAUAGCCUUUCGAAAGGAAGAUUAAUGCCCCAUAAUAUAUUAAAUGGCAUCAUUUGAUAUUGAAAACUCCGGUGGAUAAAGAUGGGCACGCGCAGGAUUAGAUAGUUGGUAGGGUAACGGCCUACCAAGUCAACGAUCCUUAGGGGGCCUGAGAGGGUGAUCCCCCACACUGGUACUGAGACACGGACCAGACUCCUACGGGAGGCAGCAGUGAGGAAUAUUGGACAAUGGGUGAGAGCCUGAUCCAGCCAUCCCGCGUGAAGGACGACGGCCCUAUGGGUUGUAAACUUCUUUUGUACAGGGAUAAACCUUUCCACGUGUGGGAAGCUGAAGGUACUGUACGAAUAAGCACCGGCUAACUCCGUGCCAGCAGCCGCGGUAAUACGGAGGGUGCAAGCGUUAUCCGGAUUUAUUGGGUUUAAAGGGUCCGUAGGCGGACUCGUAAGUCAGUGGUGAAAUCUCACAGCUUAACCGUGAAACUGCCAUUGAUACUGCGGGUCUUGAGUGUUGUUGAAGUAGCUGGAAUAAGUAGUGUAGCGGUGAAAUGCAUAGAUAUUACUUAGAACACCAAUUGCGAAGGCAGGUUACUAAGCAACAACUGACGCUGAUGGACGAAAGCGUGGGGAGCGAACAGGAUUAGAUACCCUGGUAGUCCACGCCGUAAACGAUGCUAACUCGUUUUUGGACUUUCGGGUUCAGAGACUAAGCGAAAGUGAUAAGUUAGCCACCUGGGGAGUACGUUCGCAAGAAUGAAACUCAAAGGAAUUGACGGGGGCCCGCACAAGCGGUGGAUUAUGUGGUUUAAUUCGAUGAUACGCGAGGAACCUUACCAAGGCUUAAAUGGGAAUUGAUUGGUUUAGAAAUAGACCGUCCUUCGGGCAAUUUUCAAGGUGCUGCAUGGUUGUCGUCAGCUCGUGCCGUGAGGUGUUAGGUUAAGUCCUGCAACGAGCGCAA